rnacentral:rRNA from 1 species
CAGCAGCCACGGGAAUACGUAGGUGGCAAGCGUUGUCCGGAUUUAUUGGGCGUAAAGCGAGCGCAGGCGGUUCCUUAAGUCUGAUGUGAAAGCCCCCGGCUCAACCGGGGAGGGUCAUUGGAAACUGGGGAACUUGAGUGCAGAAGAGGAGAGUGGAAUUCCAUGUGUAGCGGUGAAAUGCGUAGAGAUUAGGGGGAGCACCAGUGGCGAAGGCGGCUUUUCGGCCUGUAACUGACACUGAGGCGCGAAAGCGUGGGGAGCAAACAGGAUUAGAUACCCCUGUAGUCCCUGUCUCUUAUAC